rnacentral:rRNA from 1 species
AUGUUUCCUUUUUAUUUAUUCUUUCCUGCUUCUUUUUUUGCGUUUCUCUCCUUCUUGCUUUUUCUCUCGAAUUUGUUCUCUUUUUCUUCUUUUCCAAUUAUUUGUUUACACGAUCAUGUUUUUCAAAAGAUGACCGUGUUUCUGAAAAUUGUUGAAGUUUUAAAAAAAAUUCAGGAGUUUCAACAAAUGUUCAUGUUUGCAAAAACUAUUCUAGUUUUCAAAAAAUGUUCGCAAAUUUCAAAAAAUGUUUGUAAUUUCAAUUUUAUUCGAGGGAGUUUCAAAAAGAAUUUGGGCGUUUCAAAAUUUGUUCACGUUUUUUAA